rnacentral:rRNA from 1 species
GAUGAACGCUGGCGGCGUGCCUAAUACAUGCAAGUCGAGCGAACAGACGAGGAGCUUGCUCCUCUGACGUUAGCGGCGGACGGGUGAGUAACACGUGGAUAACCUACCUAUAAGACUGGGAUAACUUCGGGAAACCGGAGCUAAUACCGGAUAAUAUAUUGAACCGCAUGGUUCAAUAGUGAAAGACGGUUUUGCUGUCACUUAUAGAUGGAUCCGCGCCGCAUUAGCUAGUUGGUAAGGUAACGGCUUACCAAGGCGACGAUGCGUAGCCGACCUGAGAGAGCAGUCGGCCACACUGGAACUGAGACACGGUCCAGACUCCUACGGGAGGCAGAAGUAGGGAAACUUCCGCAAUGGGCGAAAGCCUGACGGAGCAACGCCGCGUGAGUGAUGAAGGUCUUCGGAUCGUAAAACUGUGUUAUUAGGGAAGAACAAAUGUGUAAGUAACGAUGCACGUCUUGACGGUACCUAAUCAGAAAGCCACGGCUAACUACGUG